rnacentral:rRNA from 1 species
GAUGAACGCUGGCGGCGUGCCUAAUACAUGCAAGUCGAGCGAACAGAUAAGGAGCUUGCUCCUUUGACGUUAGCGGCGGACGGGUGAGUAACACGUGGGUAACCUACCUAUAAGACUGGAAUAACUCCGGGAAACCGGGGCUAAUGCCGGAUAACAUUUAGAACCGCAUGGCUCUAAAGUGAAAGAUGGUUUUGCUAUCACUUAUAGAUGGACCCGCGCCGUAUUAGCUAGUUGGUAAGGUAACGGCUUACCAAGGCAACGAUACGUAGCCGACCUGAGAGGGUGAUCGGACACACUGGAACUGAGACACGGUCCAGACUCCUACGGGAGGCAGCAGUAGGGAAUCUUCCGCAAUGGGCGAAAGCCUGACGGAGCAACGCCGCGUGAGUGAUGAAGGUCUUCGGAUCGUAAAACUCUGUUAUUAGGGAAGAACAAAUGUGUAAGUAACUGUGCACGUCUUGACGGUACCUAAUCAGAAAGCCACGGCUAACUACGUG